GGCCCUAUAGUUAAAUGGAUAUAACGGAACCCUCCUAAGGUUCAGUUGGCGGUCCGAUUCCGCCUGGGGCUA
rnacentral:tRNA from 1 species